rnacentral:rRNA from 1 species
GACGAACGCUGGCGGCGUGCCUAAUACAUGCAAGUCGAACGCUUCUUUUCCCACCGGAGCUUGCUCCACCGGGAAAAGAGGAGUGGCGAACGGGUGAGUAACACGUGGGUAACCUGCCCAUCAGAAGGGGAUAACACUUGGAAACAGGUGCUAAUACCGUAUAACAAUCGAAACCGCAUGGUUUCGUUUUGAAAGGCGCUUUACGGUGCCGCUGAUGGAUGGACCCGCGGUGCAUUAGCUAGUUGGUGAGGUAACGGCUCACCAAGGCCACGAUGCAUAGCCGACCUGAGAGGGCGAUCGGCCACAUUGGGACUAAGACACGGCCCAAACUCCUACGGGAGGCAGCAGUAGGGAAUCUUCGGCAAUGGACGAAAGUCUGACCGAGCAACGCCGCGUGAGUGAAGAAGGUUUUCGGAUCGUAAAACUCUGUUGUUAGAGAAGAACAAGGGUGAGAGUAACUGUUCACCCCUUGACGGUAUCUAACCAGAAAGCCACGGCUAACUACGUGCCAGCCGCCGCCGUAA